rnacentral:rRNA from 1 species
AAACUGCGAAUGGCUCAUUAUAUAAGUUAUCGUUUAUUUGAUAGUACCUUACUACUUGGAUAACCGUGGUAAUUCUAGAGCUAAUACAUGCUAAAAAUCCCGACUUCGGAAGGGAUGUAUUUAUUAGAUUAAAAACCAAUGCCCUCUGGGCUCCUUGGUGAUUCAUAAUAACUUUUCGAAUCGCAUGGCCUUGCGCCGGCGAUGGUUCAUUCAAAUUUCUUCCCUAUCAACUUUCGAUGUUUGGGUAUUGGCCAAACAUGGUCGCAACGGGUAACGGAGGGUUAGGGCUCGACCCCGGAGAAGGAGCCUGAGAAACGGCUACUACAUCCAAGGAAGGCAGCAGGCGCGCAAAUUACCCAAUCCCGAUUCGGGGAGGUAGUGACAAUAAAUACUGAUACAGGGCUCUUUUGGGUCUUGUAAUUGGAAUGAGUACAAUUUAAAUCCCUUAACGAGGAACAAUUGGAGGGCAAGUCUGGUGCCAGCAGCCGCGGUAAUUCCAGCUCCAAUAGCGUAUAUUAAAGUUGUUGUGGUUAAAAAGCUCGUAGUUGAACCUUGGGCCUGGCUGGCCGGUCCGCCUCACCGCGUGCACUGUGCCGGCCGGGCCUUUCCCUCUGUGGAACCUCAUGCCCUUCACUGGGUGUGGCGGGGAAACAGGACUUUUACUUUGAAAAAAUUAGAGUGCUCCAGGCAGGCCUAUGCUCGAAUACAUUAGCAUGGAAUAAUAAAAUAGGACGCGUGGUUCUAUUUUGUUGGUUUCUAGGACCGCCGUAAUGAUUAAUAGGGACAGUCGGGGGCAUCAGUAUUCAAUUGUCAGAGGUGAAAUUCUUGGAUUUAUUGAAGACUAACUACUGCGAAAGCAUUUGCCAAGGAUGUUUUCAUUAAUCAGGAACGAAAGUUAGGGGAUCGAAGACGAUCAGAUACCGUCGUAGUCUUAACCAUAAACUAUGCCGACUAGGGAUCGGACGAUGUUAUUUUUUGACGCGUUCGGCACCUUACGA